rnacentral:rRNA from 1 species
AUACGUAGGUGGCAAGCGUUAUCCGGAUUUACUGGGUGUAAAGGGCGUGUAGGCGGGUUUGCAAGUUGGAUGUGAAAUCCUCAGGCUUAACCUGAGAGGGUCAUCCAAAACUGCAGAUCUUGAGUACUGGAGAGGAUAGUGGAAUUCCUAGUGUAGCGGUAAAAUGCGUAGAUAUUAGGAGGAACACCAGUGGCGAAGGCGACCUGCUGGACGACAACUGACGCUGAGGCGCGAAAGCGUGGGGAGCAAACAGGAUUAGAUACCCUGGUAGUCCACGCUGUAAACGAUGAAUACUAGGUGUGGGGGGACUGACCCCCUCCGUGCCGCAGUUAACACAAUAAGUAUUCCACCUGGGGAGUACGAUCGCAAGAUUGAAACUCAAAUGAAUUGACGGGG